GCGCCUGCGCUCGCCGGCCGGGUCCGCCCCCUCCAGCUUCCCGGGCCGCUGCGUUCCCGCAGUUCCCCGCUCGCGCCCUUUCUGCCGCGGUUCUGACUGCCGGCAGAACGCCUAGUGGUCUCGCAGACCCAAGACCCGCCUGGGCUGCCCGUUGUUCUUGCCCCGGUGCUGCAGCUCACACAAGGGUUUGUACCACCCUUCCCCUAACGCUGGCCCUCUUCGCGGCUUCGCUCGCCUUCGAAUGAGCAGUGUUCUUGGCAGUCUAGGGUUGUGGUUGGGUACACAGAGCCGCCAGGACGAGUUACCUGUUGGCUCUGUGCAGAAGCAUGCAGUCCUCCUCGAGAUGGCAGUGGUAUCUUACAACCAAAGGGACAGUCCGAUAGAUACCCUAAGAAGAGCAGCAGAAUUUAAUCCUUAGAGGGCCAGUCAAGGUUCAAGUUUUGUCUUUUUUCGGUCCCACAGAACACAAUAUCUCUAGGAAUGGAUUUGAUAUCUGGCCUCCCUUCAUCUCAACCUAUUUCUGGGAGGACUUGGAUUUGGGAAUAUAAAUACUAUUAAAAGCAAAAAUCUGAACUUUAUAUUGAAACUAAGGAUAUCUGUUUUUAAGUAAGUAAAAGGGAUCACUUUCAAAUAAAACAAUCCUCUGCCUUCUGCACACUGUAAGGCGCUAUAAUUAACUGGAAUUAGAAAGCAUGCAUUAUGAACAGAAUUUCCUUGGAAUUGAGUCCUGCGAAGAUAGGCAUGGGCCUAAACAUAAAAUUAGAUUUUAGGUAUUAAAGCUGUCCUCUUCUAAGAAAAUAACCUUUAAAGCAGGGUUUCCCAACUGACACUGUUGACUUCUGGAAUGGACAUUUCUCUUUCUUGGGGAUGGGGCAUCUUGUGCAUUUGCAGGAUAUUUAGCAGCAUCACCGGCUUCUACUCCCGCUAGAUGCCUAGUGACCGCUCCUCCCUCUAGUUAUGGCAAUCAAAAAUGUUUCCAGACAUUGCCAAAUAUUCCCCAGAGGGCAAAUAUACCCCCUACUUGAGAACCACACUGCUUUAAAGUUAUGAAAAGACCAUCCUUUGGUGUUUCUUGCUCAAUUGUACCGAAGCUACUAGAAAUAGCCAUUUUUUUCUGGUUCUCAUCACACUUUGAGAGAUCCCAUUUAAAAGUGUUGUCUGAACCCGUCAGACCCAAAAUGAUAUUUUUUUCCGGAUACCACUCCAUUGCAAGGUCUUCUAUAUGCAGAUAUGCUGAUUUGUGCUAAUAAGUGUACCCCCUCAAGACCUGAUUACCAAAAGGUACCUACCUAUUUUGGGUGGACUAAUAAAAGUGUUCCUUCCACCCUGUAAAGCCUCCUAACACAGAGUAGGUUGGAGAUUAGAGAUUGGCCUAGACUUCAGACAUCCUCAGCGAGGACCUUGGCAUCUACACAGUCUUCUGCCGUGGCCCUCAUGGCCGUGAGUCAACAUACUUCAUUUCCCUUUCAUGUUUUUAAAUUAGGUUUCUGACCCUUCAGUAAGGAAAUCAACUUCCAUAUAUAUUGUGCUGUCUGAGAUUGGUCCUUGACAACCUAGUUUAAUGGUGCAAUCAUUGUGGUAAUAGCAUGUUAAAUAACAUUAAU
rnacentral:lncRNA from 10 species